AGGGUUUGUGGGAGAUGCUCACUGGCUGUGAAAUAAAUAAGUGGCUGAGGAGAAGCCCAGCCUUUCCAGCUACUAAGGCUUAGGAGAAUAUUUUGAGUGUCUUCCAAAAUCAGGGUAUUGAAUCUUUUAUUUUUUCAGAGUUCUAUGUAUAGUUGGUUACAUUCUAUACCUGGAAAUUUCUCCAAAACUGCUUCCCACGUGAGUCCCAUGGCUCGGAAAUGGGGUGGUUCUGCUCAUUGACGGGUGUUGGUCAGAAACAUAAAAUGACAGCCUCAAAGGAGCCUGGGAUUUGUCAGUUAUGUUUUGUCAGUGCUGUAGAUUUCAGAAAACACUUUCACACUUUCUCUCCAUCUGAGGCGGCAGCGUGCUCUCUUACCAGCAUCAGGAGCUCAGGGCUACGGGAUGGUGGGGGCUGACUGCACUGCCGUGAAGACAGCUAAGGUGCCCUCACCUCCAGUGGCAUCCAUCCAGACACCAGCACUGACACUGGCCGUGCUCCGAACUGCCUCAGCCCUGAAGACACAACUGGCAAAUAGAAGGCGGCCACGCCCUGUUACAGCAGGUGCUCUCACUUUGUGGGUCCUUAUGUAACUGCGUGGUUUUAAUCAGGAUCGCCCGUUCUACAUUGUGUGGCGCUGCUGCCGUGUCUCCUAGUUAUUGUUUCUGUGAUUCUCUGAUUGUCCCAAGACAAUUAUUGAAUUCAUACUUGGCUCUUUGAUUUGAAAUCCCACCUGUAAAAAAUACUUAUGUAUA